rnacentral:rRNA from 1 species
AACGAACGCUGGCGGCAGGCUUAACACAUGCAAGUCGAGCGCAUCCUUCGGGGUGAGCGGCAGACGGGUGAGUAACGCGUGGGAAUCUACCUUUUGCUACGGAAUAGCUCCGGGAAACUGGAAUUAAUACCGUAUGUUCCCUUAGGGGGAAAGAUUUAUCGGCAAGAGAUGAGCCCGCGUUGGAUUAGCUAGUUGGUGGGGUAAAGGCCUACCAAGGCGACGAUCCAUAGCUGGUCUGAGAGGAUGAUCAGCCACAUUGGGACUGAGACACGGCCCAAACUCCUACGGGAGGCAGCAGUGGGGAAUAUUGGACAAUGGGCGCAAGCCUGAUCCAGCCAUGCCGCGUGAGUGAUGAAGGCCUUAGGGUUGUAAAGCUCUUUCACCGGAGAAGAUAAUGACGGUAUCCGGAGAAGAAGCCCCGGCUAACUUCGUG